rnacentral:rRNA from 1 species
UACGGGGGGAGCAAGCGUUGUUCGGAUUUACUGGGCGUAAAGGGCGCGUAGGCGGCGCAACAAGUCACUUGUGAAAUCUCCGGGCUUAACCCGGAGCGGCCAAGUGAUACUGUCGUGCUAGAGUGCGGAAGGGGCUACUGGAAUUCUCGGUGUAGCGGUGAAAUGCGUAGAUAUCGAGAGGGACACCUGCGGCGAAGGCGGGUAGCUGGGCCGACACUGACGCUGAGGCGCGAAAGCCAGGGGAGCGAACGGG